AACGCACAUUGCGCCCGCUGGUAUUCCGGCGGGCAUGCCCGUUCGAGCGUCAUUUCAAUCCCUUCCCGGGAGACCCAGUUUUUAUUACUGGGUCUCGCGGGGCGUUGGCACUGGACGCCUUUUUUCAACGUUUGACCUCGGAUCAGGUAGGGAUACCCGCUGAACUUAA
rnacentral:misc_RNA from 1 species